UAAUAUCAGAACAUCAGACAUGUUAAUAUGUGUUGUAGUGGUUUAAUAAUAUCAGAACAUCGGACAUGUUAAUAUGUGUUGUAGUGGUUUAAUAAUAUCAGAACAUCAGACAUGUUAAUAUGUGUUGUAGUGGUUUAAUAAUAUCAGAAUAUCAGACAUGUUAAUAUGUGGAUGGGCAUUACUCUGGAUCAGAAGGUUGGGUUUUGGUUGGGGAGAUGGAUGGGCAUUACUCUGGAUCAGAAGGUUGGGUUUUGGUUGGGGAGGUGGAUGGGCAUUACUCUGGAUCAGAAGGUUGGGUUUUGGUUGGGGAGGUGGAUGGGCAUUACUCUGGAUCAGAAGGUUGGGUUUUGGUUGGGGAGGUGGAUGGGCAUUACUCUGGAUCAGAAGGUUGGGUUUUGGUUGGGGAGGUUGAUGGGCAUUACUCUGGAUCAGAAGGUUGGGUUUUGGGUUGGGGAGAUGGAUGGGCAUUACUCUGGAUCAGAAGGUUGGGUUUUGGUUGGGGAGGUGGAUGGGCAUUACUCUGGAUCAGAAGGUUGGGUUUUGGUUGGGGAGGUGGAUGGGCAUUACUCUGGAUCAGAAGGUUGGGUUUUGUUGGGGAGGUGGAUGGGCAUUACUCUGGAUCAGAAGGUUGGGUUUUGGUUGGGGAGGUGGGAUGGGCAUUACUCUGGAUCAGAAGGUUGGGUUUUGGUUGGGGAGGUUGAUGGGCAUUACUCUGGAUCAGAAGGUUGGGUUUUGGUUGGGGAGGUUGAUGGGCAUUACUCUGGAUCAGAAGGUUGGGUUUUGGUUGGGGAGGUGGAUGGGCAUUACUCUGGAUCAGAAGGUUGGGUGUCUGAUCCCAGUAUUUUUUAAUUUAUACUGAACAAAAAUAUAACGCAACAUGCAACAAUAUCAAAGAUUUUACUGAGUUACAGUUCAUAGAAGGAAAUCCAUCAGUUGAAAUAAAUAAAUGAGGUCCUAAUCUAUGGAUUUCACAUGACUGGGCAGGGGCUCAGCAAUGAGUGGCCCCUGGGAGGGCAUAGGCCCACCCACUUGGGAGCCGGGUCUACCCACUGGGGAGGCAUUCCCAGCCAAUCAGAAUUAUUUUUCCC
rnacentral:lncRNA from 1 species